rnacentral:lncRNA from 1 species
AAUGAGGUCAAGGUCAAAGGUCAAGGUCAUAUUCUAAAUUUUGAUUUUGGCUUAUUUUCAUUUAUUUUCAAAUACCUUAUGACAUAUCGACAAAUAAUUUUUUCAUAAAUUGUUAGUUGCGACAUGUCCUUACUUGUAUAUUUUGGUUGAAAGGGUGCGCAGACAAUAAAUGGGAGUUUUUGCCCAUCUUACAUUUAGAAUUACGCGUAAAGUGAUAUUACUCAUAAACCAAACAUAUUAAAGACCUUAGGGUCUUUUGAUUUAAGGUCCUUGGUUUGUGACCUUGAAAUUGAGGUCAAGGUCAUAGGUUAAUAUGACGUUCUAGAUUUUGACCUUUGCUUUAAAUUCAUAUUAAAUACAUCAUAAAGCCAUAGGAACUAACAUUUUUAAACUGAUUUUUAAUAUUUCAAUAUCAAAAUAGAUCUUUACUAGUGGAAAGACCUACAAUUGUUCUCUGAACAAUUGGUUUUUAAUUAUUAUUAUUUUUUUUUUUCUUCCGCCUAAUUUUUUUUCUUGCGUAGUAUUGAUGUUUCAAAAGAUGUCGCUUAGAUAUUUGGAAUAUGAUAUCGUAUAGUUUAUACGCUUUUAAAAAUUUACAACCGCGUAACAAAAUACUUUACGUUGUAAGAGUUAUCUCCCCAAACACUGUUUUUCUUGUGGCCACUACUCCUUCGCAACCGUAAAAGAUUACGACAAAUUUAUUUUACCAAAUUGCUCGUUACAUCUUCAGGAUUAGAAUAUUCAUUUGGACCGAAGCUAUCCGGAGACUCCAUAUGAGAGUUAUUCCCCUUUAUGCAUUUGAUAUUAGUG